rnacentral:lncRNA from 1 species
AAUACAAUGUCAAUACAGUACUGUACUACAAUGGCAGUAGAGUGCUAAAGGUUAGCAGUUUAGAUCCAUAUACAGUGAGCCUUCUACAGUCACAAUUCAGGACAUUCCCCAGCUGACAGUGAGUUCUACAGUCAUCAGAGAGACAGAAUCAGUUCAGCUGAGUUGUGAGACUCCUCCAUCUCUCCCUGUGUCUCACUGUUACUUCAACAUAGAGGGGGGAGAGAAUCCUCCAGACUCAUCCUGUACUCAGACACUCACAGGAACAGAGCUGCUCAAGAGGGCAGAUCAAACGUUUCCAGAUGUGGUCAAAGUGACGUGUUACUAUGCUGUAAGGAGAUCUCACACAUCUCCUUUUAGUGACCCUGUCUCAGUCACUGUUCAGGAGACACUAUUCUCCUGAUCUCACAGAUCCACCUCCUCCCAGGCUAACAGUCAAUUCUACAGUCAUCAGAGAGAGAGACUCAGUUCAGCUGAGCUGUCAGACUCCUCCAUCUGUCUCUGUGUCUCAGUGUUACUUCUACACAGAGGGGAGAGAUCCUAAACCCUCACCCUGUACGAGUUCACUAACGGGGACUGAGCUGCUCUCGUGGGCAGGUCAAAGUUCAUCUGCUGAGAUCAAACUGAGAUGUUUUUACACAGUAGAAACUCACUAUACAUCGACGCACAGUGGUUCUGUCUCUGUUACUAUUCUUGAGCCACUUGAUUUCCUGUGGCGUCACAUCCUCACUGUGUUGGUCCUACUGGCUACUUGUGGAGUACUUAUACACUAUGUCAUCUCCCAUCAAUGCCCAAACGCUGUUCCAAAGAGAAGCAGGAGGGUGGACCAGAGAAAUGAAGACUUUUCGUUGACAGUGUGCUAA